AUCAGGUGGGAUUACCCGCUGAACUUAAGCAUAUCAAUAAGCGGAGGAAAAGAAACUAACAAGGAUUCCCCUAGUAACGGCGAGUGAAGAGGGAAAAGCCCAAAUUUGUAAUCUGGCUCUUUUAGAGUCCGAGUUGUAAUUUUGAGAACUGUUUUCAGUGCUGGACCAUGUUUAAGUCUGUUGAAAAACAGCAUCAUUGAGGGUGAUAAUCCCGUUCAUGAUAUGGACUACCAGUACUUUAUGAUACAGUCUCUAAGAGUCGAGUUGUUUGGGAAUGCAGCUCAAAGUGGGUGGUAAAUUCCAUCUAAGGCUAAAUAUAGGUGAGAGACCGAUAGCAAACAAGUACCGUGAGGGAAAGAUGAAAAGAACUUUGGAAAGAGAGUUAACAGUACGUGAAAUUGCUGAAAGGGAAACAAUUGAAGUUAGCCUUGUUAUUGUCAGUUCAGCUCUUUUAGAGUGUAUUCUGAUGAUUAACGACCAACAUCAGUCUUUGAGUGCUGGAUAAGGGUUUUGGAAAUGUAGCAGUCUCGGCUGUGUUAUAGUCCAUUACUUUGAUACAGUGCUUGGGAUUGAGGAUCGCAGUAAGCCAUUUUAUGGUGGACCAAAUUUUUGGUCUUCUUACUGAGGAUGUUGGUGAAAUAGCUUUAAAAAUG
rnacentral:rRNA from 1 species